GUUUCAGCAGCCGCGGUAAGACGGAGGGUGCAAGCGUUGUUCGGAAUUACUGGGCGUAAAGCGUACGUAGGCGGCGGAUUAAGUCGAAUGUUAAAGCCUGGGGCUCAACCCCAGAGAUGCACUCGAUACUGGUUUGCUAGAGGGUGAUAGAGGAAAGUGGAAUUCCGAGUGUAGCGGUGAAAUGCGUAGAUAUUCGGAGGAACAUCAGUAGCGAAGGCGACUUUCUGGGUCACACCUGACGCUGAGGUACGAAAGCGUGGGGAGCAAACGGGAUUAGAUACCCCCGUAGUCC
rnacentral:rRNA from 1 species